rnacentral:rRNA from 1 species
AGAGUUUGAUCCUGGCUCAGGACGAACGCUGGCGGUGUGCUUCACACAUGCAAGUCGAGCGAAUGAAGUAGGUAGCUUGCUACUUAUGGAUUUAGCGGCGGACGGGUGAGUAAUAUAUAGGAAUCUGCCUUAGAGCGGGGAACAACAGACCGAAAGGUUUGCUAAUGCCCCAUAGGUAUGCAGUCUUCGGAUUGUAUAUUAAAGGAGUAAUCCACUCUAAGAUGAGCCUGUAUCCGAUUAGCUAGUUGGCGGGGUAAAGGCCCACCAAGGCUACGAUCGGUAGUUGGUCUGAGAGGAUGAUCAGCCACAAUGGGACUGGGACACGGCCCAUACUCCUACGGGAGGCAGCAGUGGGGAAUUUUACACAAUGGGGGAAACCCUGAUGUAGCGACACCGCGUGAACGAAGAAGCCUUUUGGGGUGUAAAGUUCUGUCGGCUGGAACGAAAAAAAUGACGGUACCAGCAAAGGAAGCAUCGGCUAACUACGUGCCAGCAGCCGCGGUAAGACGUAGGAUGCAAGCGUUGUCCGGAUUUAUUGGGCGUAAAGAGUUCGUAGGUGGUUUGUUAAGUUUGGUGUUAAAGAUUGGGGCUCAACCCUGAAACUGCACUGAAUACUGGCAGACUCGAGUGUGGUAGAGGCUAGUGGAAUUCCCAGUGUAGCGGUGAAAUGCGUAGA